rnacentral:rRNA from 1 species
UACGGAGGGAGCUAGCGUUGUUCGGAAUUAGCUGGGCGUAAAGCGGCACGUAGGCGGCUUUGUAAGUUAGAGGUGAAAGCCUGGAGCUUCAACUCCAGAAUUGCCUUUGAUACUGCAUGGCUUGAAUCCAGGAGAGGUGAGUGGAAGUUCCGAAGUGUAGAGGUGAAAUUCGUAGAUAUUCGGAAGAAACACCAGUGCGA